UACGUAGGGUCCGAGCGUUAAUCGGAAUUACUGGGCGUAAAGCGUGCGCAGGCGGUUUUGUAAGCCAGAUGUGAAAGCCCCGGGCUUAACCUGGGAAUGGCAUUUGGGACUGCAAGGCUGGAGUACGGCAGAGGGAGGUGGAAUUCCAGGUGUAGCAGUGAAAUGCGUAGAGAUCUGGAGGAACACCGAUGGCGAAGGCAGCCUCCUGGGCUAGUACUGACGCUCAUGCACGAAAGCGUGGGGAGCAAACAGG
rnacentral:rRNA from 2 species